GACAGAGGGUGCAAACGUUGUUCGGAAUUACUGGGCGUAAAGCGCGUGUAGGCGGUUCCGCAAGUCAGGUGUGAAAGCCCAGGGCUCAACCCUGGAAGUGCACUUGAUACUACGGAGCUUGAGUACUGAAGAGGAGAGCGGAAUUCCCGGUGUAGAGGUGAAAUUCGUAGAUAUCGGGAGGAACACCAGUGGCGAAGGCGGCUCACUGGCCCGAUACUGACGCUGAGGUGCGAAAGCGUGGGGAGCAAACAGG
rnacentral:rRNA from 1 species